CAGCAGUAGGGAAUAUUGGACAAUGGACGCAAGUCUGAUCCAGCCAUGCCGCGUGCAGGAUGACAGCCCUCUGGGUUGUAAACUGCUUUUAUAUGAGAAGAAACCCUCAGAUGCGUUUGAGGCUGACGGUAUCAUAUGAAUAAGGAUCGGCUAACUUCGUGCCAGCAGCCGCGGUAAGACGAAGGAUCCAAGCGUUGUCCGGAUUUACUGGGUUUAAAGGAUGCGUAGGCGGACACUUAAGCCAGUGGUGAAAUCCCAUAGCUCAACUAUGGAACUGCCAUUGGAACUGUGUGUCUUGAAUUCGGUUGAGGUAGAUGGAAUAUAACAUGUAGCGGUGAAAUGCUUAGAUAUGUUAUAGAACACCGAUUGCGAAGGCAGUCUACUAAGCCGACAUUGACGCUGAGGCAUGAAAGCGUGGGGAGCGAACAGGAUUAGAUACCCUGGUAGUCCACGCCCUAAACGUUGAUUACUCGCUGUUAGCGAUAUACUGUUAGCGGCUAAGCGAAAGCGUUAAGUAAUCCACCUGGGAAGUACGACCGCAAGGUUGAAACUCAAAUGAAUU
rnacentral:rRNA from 1 species